rnacentral:rRNA from 1 species
GACGAACGCUGGCGGCGUGCUUAACACAUGCAAGUCGAACGGAAAGGCCCUGCUUUUGUGGGGUGCUCGAGUGGCGAACGGGUGAGUAACACGUGAGUAACCUGCCCUUGACUUUGGGAUAACUUCAGGAAACUGGGGCUAAUACCGGAUAGGAGCUCCUGCUGCAUGGUGGGGGUUGGAAAGUUUCGGCGGUUGGGGAUGGACUCGCGGCUUAUCAGCUUGUUGGUGGGGUAGUGGCUUACCAAGGCUUUGACGGGUAGCCGGCCUGAGAGGGUGACCGGCCACAUUAGGACUGAGAUACGGCCCAGACUCCUACGGGAGGCAGCAGUGGAGAAUAUUGCACAAUGGGCGGAAGCCUGAUGCAGCAACGCCGCGUGCGGGAAGACGGCCUUCGGGUUGUAAACCGCUUUCGCCUGUGACGAAGCGUGAGUGACGGUAAUGGGUAAAGAAGCACCGGCUAACUACGUG